rnacentral:rRNA from 1 species
AUUGAACGCUGGCGGAAUGCUUUACACAUGCAAGUCGGGCGGCAGCGCGGGGGCAACCCUGGCGGCGAGCGGCGAACGGGUGAGUAAUACAUCGGAACGUGUCCUUAAGUGGGGGAUAGCUCGGCGAAAGCCGGAUUAAUACCGCAUAAGCUCUGAGGAGGAAAGCGGGGGAUCGUCUAGAAACUGGAGACUAGAAACUAGAGACUAGAUUGAUAAGGUGCGGCGAAGCCGCGCUUCGUUAGUCUAGUUUCCAGUCUCUAGUGUCUAGUUUCUAGACGACCUCGCGCUGUUGGAGCGGCCGAUGUCGGAUUAGCUAGUUGGUGGGGUAAAGGCUCACCAAGGCGACGAUCCGUAGCUGGUCUGAGAGGAUGAUCAGCCACAC